UCAAGUUUAGAAGGGCAUACGGCGGAUGCCUAGGCGUUUCGAAACGAAGAAGGACGCGAUAAGCUGCGAUAAGCCGUGGUUAGCUGCAAGUAAGCAUUGAUCCACGGAUUUCCGAAUGGGGCAACCCGGCAAGAGUAACGUCUUGUCACCUUAUCUACGAGAUAAGGAGAAAACACCCGAUGAACUGAAACAUCUAAGUAGUCGGAGGAAAAGAAAUCAAAGAGAUUCCCUGAGUAGCGGCGAGCGAAACGGGAAGAGCCCAAACCAAGAGACUUCGGUUUCUUGGGGUUGCGGACCUGCAACAAACCGGACACUUUAGUGGAAGCAUCUGGGAAGGUGCGGCAAAGAGAGUGAGACCCUCGUACACGAAAGAGUGAAAGGCGGGCAGGGAUCCAGAGUACCACAGGGCACGAGGAACCCAGUGGGAAGCAGGGUGGACCACCAUCCAAGGCUAAAUACAUCGAAACGACCGAUAGCGAAAAGUACCGUGAGGGAAAGGUGAAAAGAACCCCGGGAGGGGAGUGCAAUAGAACCUGAAACCGUAUGUCUACAAACAGUCGAAGCACAAUUUAACGUGCGACGGCGUGCCUAUUGAAGAAUGAACCGGCGAGUUAAUUUAUGCUGCGAGGUUAAGCGGGAGACGCGGAGCCGAAGCGAAAGCGAGUCUUAAGAGGGCUGUUAGUAGCAUGGAUUAGACCCGAAACCACAGUGAUCUAUACAUGUCCAGGUUGAAGCUCAGGUAAAAAUGAGUGGAGGACCGAACCCGUGCGUGUUGAAAAACGUUGGGAUGAGAUGUGUAUAGGGGUGAAAUGCCAAUCGAACGUGGAGAUAGCUGGUUCUCCCCGAAAUAGCUUUAGGGCUAGCCUCAGGCGAAUCACCAUAGAGACGGUAGAGCACUGAUCGGGCAAGGGGGCGUAAAGCCUACCGACCCCAGUCAAACUACGAAUGGCUCAUAUGGGCAGCCUGGGAGUCAGAAUGCGAGUGAUAAGACCCGUAUUCAAGAGGGAAACAGCCCAGACCGCCGGCUAAGGUCCCAAAUGCUGUGCUAAGUGGAGAAGGAUGUAGGACUUCGAAAACAACCAGGAUGUUGGCUCAGAAGCAGCCACCAUUAAAAGAGUGCGUAAUAGCUCACUGGUCGAGAGGCCCUGCGCCGAAAAUAUCCGGGGCUAAAGCACAGAACCGAAGCCGCGGCAGGGUGUACUAAGGUACACACUGGGUAGGGGAGCGUUCUUAUCUGGACGAAGGCAGACCGGAAGGACUGCUGGACGGGUAAGAAGUGAGAAUGCCGGUAUGAGUAGCGAAACGACAGGUGAGAAUCCUGUCCACCGAAAGCCUAAGGGAUCCUGGGCAACGCUCGUCGUCCCAGGGUAAGUCGGGACCUAAGCCGAGGCGAAAAGCAUAGGCGAUGGACAACUGGCGAAAAUUCCAGUACCGGGCGUCUUCGUUUGAGGAUGGAGUGACGCAGGAAGGAAGCUGAGCGCGCGAAUGGUUGGGCGCGUCGAAGGCGGUAGGCUUGUAUGGAGGCAAAUCCCCAUACUACAAGGCCGAGAACCGAUAGAUAGGAAAGACUACGGUCAAUCUGAAUUCAGCUGCACUACACUGCCAAGAAAAGCUUCUAACGAGAAGACGUCUGCCCGUACCAAAACCGACACAGGUAGGCGGGGAGAGAAUCCUAAGGUGCGCGGGAAAACCCUCGUUAAGGAACUCGGCAAAAUGCAUCCGUAACUUCGGGAAAAGGAUGGCCGCUUGAGGUGAAGAGACUUGCUCUCGGAGCUUUGGGCGGCGGCAGAAAAGAGGCCCAAGCGACUGUUUACCACAAACACAGGUGCCUGCGAAAGCGCAAGCUGAAGUAUAGGUGCUGACGCCUGCCCGGUGCAGGAAGGUUAAGGAGAGUUGUUAGUCCUAGAGAUGAAGCAGCGAACUGAAGCCCCUGUAAACGGCGGCCGUAACUAUAACGGUCCUAAGGUAGCGAAAUUCCUUGUCGGGU
rnacentral:rRNA from 1 species